AGAGAGUGAUUUCAUUUCCUUUGGAUAUAUACCUAAGAAGUGGAAUUGCUGGAUCAUAGGGUAGUUCUAUUUUUAACUUUUUGAGCAACCUCCCUACUGUUUCCCAUAGUGGCUGUGACAAUUUAGAUUUCCAACAGUGAUGCACCAAGGUCCUCUUUUCUCCACAGCCUCACCAACACGUGUUAUUUAUCUUUACAAUGACACACAUUCUAACAUGUGUGAGGUGAUAUUUCAUUGCACUUCUGAUUUGCAUUUCCCUGAUGAUUACAGGUUUUCCAUGGACCUGUUGGCCAUUUGUAGGUUUUCUUUGGAAAAAAAAAAAAAAGUCUGUUAAAGUCCUCUGCCCUUUUUUUAAAGGGAUUGUUUGUUUUUGCUAUUGAGCUGUGAGGGUUGUAUUAACUCCUGAUCAGGUAGAUGCUUUGCAAAUACUUUCUCCCAUUCAAUAGGUUGCCUUUUCAUUGUGUUGAUAAUUUCCUUUGCUGUGCAGAAGCUUUCUAGUUUGUUAUCAUCAUGCUUAUUUUUGCUUUUGUUGCUUUUGCUUUUGGUGUCAAAUCCAAAAGAUCGUUUCCAAGACCAACGUCAGGACGCUUACUCUGUAUGUUUUCUUCUAGAAUUGUUGUGGCUUCAGAUCUUACCUUCAAGUCCUUAAUCCAUUUCCAGUUAAUUGUUAUGAGUGGUGUAACACACAAGUCCCAUUUUCUUUUUUGCGUGUGAAUAUCCAGUUUUCCCAACACCAUUUAUUGAAGAGACUAUCCUUUCCCUAUUGUGUAUUUUAAACAGGUUUCAUCUUAAGUGUUAACUUUGAUCAAUUAGUGUUAUCUGCCAGGGACAUUGGGGGAAAUGGAGUGGCAUCCCAUGUGCUAUGCAUUUGUCAUCCCUUGAUAGGUAAAAAGAGUAAUGAACUGGCAGUCAGAGGUUCCAUAUUCAAGUUUCAAUCCUAUUAUUUUGUUAUAACUCCAUGCCCUGGAAAAGUGUUCUACACUUAAUAAAUAUAUGCUAGAAUAAAAAACUCACUUAAUACUGAGAGGGCUUCAACUUAGAAUGGCAGUCAAGUCUGCAGAGUACCUUGCCAGCAUUGGUCUCAUCAAAUUCUACCACCACCUCUGUGGAGAAAGAGGUACUACAGCAUGGCAGUGUGGAAAGAAAAGCAGGGAGAAGAUAAUAUAGAUAUGGAUAUUAAUUCUGGCUUUUCCAUUUAGCUUCCUCAUUUUUAAAAUGAAGUUUAUAAUAAUAACGACCUCCCAAUGAAUGUAAGAACGUCCACUUUGGAAUGCAGCACUGCUGCUCCCUUUAUCAGAGCUGGACUUGUGACUUACCUUGGCCAACAGAGAGAAAUAAUAGUUAUGAAUAUGAAGCCUAAGCAUUAAGACAACUUGCAAUUUCCAUCUUCACUGUCUUGGACUCCUGAGACCAUUAUGCUAUGAAAGUCCAUCUAGCCUAGUAAAGGUUAAAAAAAUCACAGAGAGGAGAAAUGAAGUGUCAUAAUUGGCUUCAGCUGACAAAUACAUGAUUGAUGUCCUCUUGGAAUCACCUGUUCCACUGGAGCCACCAGAUGACAGUAACUGCAUGAAUGAUUCCCAGUGAGACCAGGCAAAGAACCACUGAGAUUGUACAUCUACAGAAUCAUAAGAAAUAAUAAACUGGUAUUGUUUUAUACCACUAAGUUUUGCAUAGCAAUAGGUAACUGAUACAAGCACAAGGCCUACCUUCUAAAAUUGUAAGAAGGACUAAAUAAGAUAAUUAUGUAAAAUGACAAAAACACAAGAAACUGACUAAAGGGUGGGGAGCAUUAUUAGCCUCCUGCUUCAUAGGUGAAAUAUCAGGCUUACCACAACUAAGCAGAUUAUUCAAGGUCACACUGCCUUUAACUGUGAAGCAAUGCCAUACACAAAUUAAAAUCCAGAGAAAACUCAGAGGUCAUACUUUGUGGCUCACCACUCAUUAGUGUGACAUCUCUGUUAGGCUGUUUUCUGUAAAAUGGGGCAGUAAUCACACUUGCCUGAUAGGAUUUAUGUGAGGGUUGAUAGAGGUAAUGAAUGUGUAUCAAUUAGCCCAGUGCCUGGAACAUAAGAAGCAUUUAAAAAUUAAUAUACAAUUAUUUUAGUGAAGGUUUCCAUUUUAGAACAUCAAUGAAGUUUUUAAUUGCUCCUUUUAACAAAUAUUACCACUGAGUAGAAAUUUUAUGGGCCCUGAGGGCAACGUAGGGUUUCAUCCCAGUCAAGGACACAAACAAGAUUAAGAGCAUGUGACAGCUUGCAGUUAGGAAGUUCACACUACAGAGUGGUGAGUUUAGGGUAUCAUAUACAGAGUCAGUGUACAGAUGACCCAAUAGACAGACCUGGGUAGACAUGGUUUUCUAGAGUACAGCUAUGACUCAGAGUUAGAAUUUAAAGGGGUGAAAAGCAAUAGAUUAAAAAAUCAUCUUAAACUAAGAAAGUGGGGCUUAUCACUGUGAGUUGCCAACAGUUUAUCUGAGGUAGGACAAAGGCUGUUGGCUUGAUGCCUUCUUUUCAAGCAUAGCUGUGAGCAUGUGCCGUUAAGAGUUAGGUUCUGUGUUAGUUCAGAAUAUCAAAGAACCAGACGCCAAGAUGCGAUUAAAUUUGCAAGGAAUUAUUAGGGAAGUACUUUCAGAGAGAAAAUAUGGAGAGAUACAGGGAAUGCUGGGAAAGCCAUCAGACCAUGAUACAAGUCUGACCCCAAGAGAUGGAGAGAAAAGGUUUGGUAGUAGAAGCAUUCUAGACUACCAUGCUCUCUAAAUAAAGUUUGACAAGAUCUUCAGAGAGUCCUUGGGCCAAGGUUGUCCAUCAGAGAAGUUCCAGGUCUCCCAGGAACAGGUUUGCCUUAGAAUCCCUGCCAAGCUCAGUCAUUGGCUGGAAGCAACCAUGGGAAGCAUGACAUCUGUACAAUGUAGCAAGAGAUUUCAGAACACAGCAUCUGGGGCUCUGUUCAAUUACAUCUUCCAUAAUUGGAAGCCCUCAAGGAGUAUUCCAAUGGCUGCCACAGCCCACUAGGGAAAAACUGGGUUAAACAGGUGCUGUGUCCACCAGAAAGUCACUGACAUUGCAGCACGAGAAUGUGCUUUGAUUGCAAAUAUAAGGAUGAUAAACAAGUGACAAACCUACUCAGAGACCUGUUCUUAGUUUCACUAAAGAAGAGAAGGUGUCAGGGACUAGAAGCAGUUUGUCUCUAAGAUAUUGGUUUUACUUCAAGUGACCUGUCUUUUUGCAAAAUUGAUAGACAGAGAUCUUUCCAGAGUUGGUUGAAUAGAGUGUUAUAAAGGUAUCAGUAAAAUUCAAAUGGAUCCUCUGACAUCUCUGCUAAUAAGAAUAACUGCUGCUCCACAGAGAAAAGUGAAAAGAAGCUGAAUAGGUGUUUGAAAUCAAAGAAUCUUUAUCAUCACCCAUACUUCAAAGAAUGCUAUUAUGAUAUGCAGGGGAUUUGGAUCUCUGAAAGCAAUCAAAGAGUUACUGUGUUCUCCAAAUGAAAUUAUAUAGUAUUUUAAUAUUGACAACACAAAUCCAUUUAUAAUUUAAUUCAUCAAGUAAGUAUACUUGUUCCUUCUUCCCCACCUCUCUCAUUCUCUAUUUUUUAUAUUCCCCUUUCAGCCCAAGUGAAAAGCUCCGCAACAACCAGAUAAAAGCUGGUGAAAACCACGUGCUAAUUUCAAGAGUAUACUAUCCUGUUAUUUCUACCAAUUUGGACGUUUCAUUUCUCUAAGUAUUUAUCAAGAACUUACUAUGUGUUCAAGCCCUUCCUCUAGAUAUAGGUGGGAAUAAAGAUCAAACCACAGUCCAUCGCCUGAGAAUAUUUUCAAUAGUGUAUUCACAGGAAAAGCUGGAAUCAAUGACAGAAGAAACUAAUUUAGAACUGUCAUUUGAUCUAAAUGAAAAGUCAUGCUUCACAGAAUAAAAUGUUUCCCAGUGUGUGCAACUAGUGGCCAGAUGCUUUGUGUAUCCAACAUCCCAAAGAAGGACCACAGCAAUUCACCAAACAGCCAGAAGAAACAGUAGCAAUAAGCAGUUCUUCCAUCGCUACCUAAAAACUUUGCAACCUACUUAUCUUGUGUGCUUAGAAAAAUCUCUUCAUUCUGAGAAAGUAGUUUGGAUGUCAGUUCCAGUUUUCCUGUGAAUGGAAAGAUUUUUUGGAGUUGAGUUGACAAAGUACAGAUGUUGGUGAAUACUAAUCUGAACAACUAAGCAAGCAGUGAAUUGUGCUUCCACAAAUGAUGGGUUGAGCCCUGGAUCAAAGAAAAACUGUGCCUUCAUGUAUAUAAUAGGAGAAGCUGGGUAAGGAGAGAACCAAAUGGGAAAAAAAAAUCAAUCUCUUUUCAUAGGCUCUGUAUGUUUUUCUUAACAGAGACUAUAUUUAUUCAAGAAACUGCAUGGUUCUGGAAAGCAUACCACCUCAAUAUGCACUGAAGCCUGAUCUUAUGACUGCAGUCAGCCUAGCACUAAAUGCACACAAAAACAGACAAAAUGUGUGAAUCCCCACUAUCCCACACAGCCUUGAUGGUAUAUCUGGUUUUCUCUUUGCAUACUCUAAAGUGCUAGCUGCCUUGCCAGCAGGCAGUAGACUUGUUGCAGAAUUCAAGUCUAUUUCUGGAGAUUACAGAUUGCUGGGAUUAAUAUCAGUGUAGUCAGUACAUAGCACCCAAAUUUCCAUGCUCUGAUGGUAUUUCAGAACUGGCACCCUACCUCUCUCCCAUUAUAUUGCCAGGGGACAAUGAUGAGACAACUCUGAGGGAUGAAGGAGAGGAGGAACUAAAAUAAUGUUUCACAAAGUCAGUAAUUGCCCAGCCUCUAUCAUGAUUUGUACCAAAGACCUAUACCAGUAGCAUUAUCCUUUAAAUACACUCACUUUGUUUACUUUAUCCUAAGAACUACCACAACAGCAUAGAUUGAAGGGAUAAAUAACAUUUUUAAUGCUAAUUCAAAUCUGUAACUGAUGCAACAACAACAACAAAAAAGAACGUGUCCACCCAAAGUCCCUAAAUCAUCUUAAGGCGCCUCAUAAAGUCACACUCUGGGAAAUUGGCAACUGAAAGGAAUCCCAGCUGAGAGGUGCUAGAAUUUCAGACUAAGCCCAAAAUACCCACACUAGAGCUGGAUGAAAAAGGCUGGAGUGGAGAACUCUCAUUGCAGACUUACUCUUCUCAUCUAAAUAGACAAUCAUUUCUACUUUUCCACAUCCUUAUCACCACCAGAUACCAUUCAAGUACUGGCAGCUGUUAGAAGAAAUGUAAGAAGGGAAGAAACAGAAAGAAAAAAAAAAGAAAACGGAUCUGACAAGUAAAAAGGAAUCUGCUUGGUUUUCUGCUGUUGCUGCAUUUUGUGGGUUGAAAGGCUAAUAUCAAAAUAUUGUGGUUAUAAAAACAUCAUAAUUAUAGGAUUCUGAAU